rnacentral:rRNA from 1 species
UUUUGUAAAUGGGGAACCUGGGGGGGGGGGGGAGGAAAGGGGAAUUCCCUUGUGGUGGGGGGGGAAAGGUGUGUUUUUAGGAGGAAUCCCGGGGGGGGAGGGGGCUUUUUGGACCUCCACUGACGCUGAGGUUUGAAAGCGUGGGGAGCAACCGGGAUUUGAUCCCCUGGUUGUUCCCGCGGUAAACGAUGAGUGGUAGGUGUCGGGGGUCAAACCUCGGUGCCGUCGUUAACACAGUAAGCACUCCGCCUGGGGAGUACGCGCGCAAGCGUGAAACUCAAAGGAAUUGACGGGGACCCGCACAAGCAGCGGAGCAUGUGGUCUAAUUUGAAGCAACGCGAAGAACCUUACCAGGGCUUGACAUAUGGGUAAAAGAUCUAGAGAUAGAUCCCUCUCUUCGGAGAUAGCCAUACAGGUGGUGCAUGGUUGUCGUCAGCUCGUGUCGUGAGAUGUUGGGUUAAGUCCCGCAACGAGCGCAACCCUUGUCACUAGUUACCAGCACUUCGGGUGGGGACUCUAGUGAGACUGCCGGUGAUAAACCGGAGGAAGGUGGGGAUGACGUCAAAUCAUCAUGCCCUUUAUGUCCUGGGCUACACACGUGCUACAAUGGUCGUUACAGAGAGCAGCUACACAGUGAUGUCACGCGAAUCUCAAAAAGGCGAUCUCAGUUCGGAUUGUACUCUGCAACUCGAGUACAUGAAGUCGGAGUUGCUAGUAAUCGCAAAUCAGAAUGUUGCGGUGAAUGCGUUCCCGGGUCUUGCACACACCGCCCGUCA